rnacentral:snoRNA from 1 species
ACUGAUGAUGAUCACAGGCCAAUGAAUGGAGUUGUAGAUGGUUCCAAGUCCUUGAUAGUCAAGGAGAACCUACUUGGAGUUACCUCUACAUUUCAAUCACAAUACUAGCUUUUCACUGAGGC